rnacentral:lncRNA from 1 species
GCAGAACUUAGAUGAGUUACAUCACCUGGGUGACAAGUGCAAAGGAAUGUUACAAAGCCCCCUGUAGGCAAAGCCUAGACAAUAGUUACAUCACUUUGGUGAUCAGUGGCGAGACCUCUCACAAUUCCCCUGUAGGCAGAGCUUAUACAACAGUUACAUCUCCUGGGUGAUCAGUGCAGAGAUAAGUCACACUGCCCCCAUUGGCAGAGCCUAGAGAAGAGUUAUAUGACUGGGGUGAUCCGUGCAGAGUGAUAUCACAACGCCCUCUGUAGCCACAGAGUAGAAAAUAGUUACAUCACCUGGGUGAUCAGUGCAGAGAUAUGUCACAAUGCCCCUGUAGGUAGAGCAUAGAGAACAGUUGCAUCACCUGGGUGAUCAGUGCAGAAAUAUGUGACAAUGCCUCCAGUAGGCAGA